rnacentral:ncRNA from 1 species
ACUGUGGAGUGUACAGGAACCUGUGAGUAGAUAUGGCUUUAGUCAAUCAAAAGCAUACACGAAGAAGCAGUAA